UGUAUUUUUUUUAAUUUUGGAGUGACUAAGUCCUUCUAAGUUCCCUCAAUUUGUCCCUAUCAGCAAUUAAUGAAUAAUUAUAUAAAAUCAGGAUAGAUACUAAGAUUUUAUUUAAAUACUUCGAGCCCGCAUGAUUGAGAUCCUGAUCAGCCUCAGGGACUAUAACUGGUUGCUGUAAUAAAUUUAGGAGAAGAUAAUAUGAAGAUUAUUCCAUGCAGCGACGUAUGUAACGGGUCACCAAAAUAAUGUAUGGCCGGGUUACUGGAGGGCCUAUGCUUUUACUGCUUAUAUAUAACAAAUGAAAUGAGAUAUCAAUGAUUCUACUAAAUACAGAAAAUUGCUGAGGACAUUUGUAACAAAUGGUGUUUUUAUAAAUAGGAAUUAAUUAUUUGUUAUUUCAGUACAAAUAAUUUUACUAAAGCG